rnacentral:rRNA from 1 species
GUUGACCUCGGAUCAGGUAGGGAUACCCGCUGAACUUAAGCAUAUCAAUAAGCGGAGGAAAAGAAACCAACCGGGAUUGCCUCAGUAACGGCGAGUGAAGCGGCAACAGCUCAAAUUUGAAAUCUGGCUCCGUGCGGGGUCCGAGUUGUAAUUUGUAGAGGGUGUUUCGGGUGCGGUGCCGGUCUAAGUUCCUUGGAACAGGACGUCAUAGAGGGUGAGAAUCCCGUCUGCGAGUCGGCCACCAACCCCGGGUGAAACCCUUCGACGAGUCGAGUUGUUUGGGAAUGCAGCUCAAAAUGGGUGGUAAAUUUCAUCUAAAGCUAAAUACCGGCCAGAGACCGAUAGCGCACAAGUAGAGUGAUCGAAAGAUGAAAAGCACUUUGGAAAGAGAGUUAAAAAGUACGUGAAAUUGUUGAAAGGGAAGCGCUUGCGACCAGACCUGUACCCGGGCGAUCAUCCGCCAUUCGUGGCGGUGCACUCGCCCGGACGCAGGCCAGCAUCGGUUUGGGCGGCGGGACAAAGGGCUCGGGAAUGUAGCUCCCUCCGGGGAGCCUUAUAGCCCGGGUCGCCAUGCCGCCCGCCCGGACCGAGGACCGCGCUUCGGCUAGGAUGCUGGCGUAAUGGUCGUAAGCGACCCGUCUUGAAACACGGACCAAGGAGUCUACCAUCCAUGCGAGUGUUUGGGUGUCAAACCCAGGCGCGGAAUGAAAGUGAACGGAGGUGAGACCCCGUAAGGGCGCAUCAUCGACCGAUCCAGAUGUCUUCGGAUGGAUUUGAGUACGAGCAUGGCUGGUGGGACCCGAAAGAUGAUGAACUAUGCCUGAAUAGGGUGAAGCCAGAGGAAACUCUGGUGGAGGCUCGCAGCGGUUCUGACGUGCAAAUCGAUCGUCGAAUUUGGGUAUAGGGGCGAAAGACCAAUCGAAUC